AGCGGGCUGCUCGGAGGGGGCCAAAAAGUUCAUCCUACAUCUGUUCAACCAGGGAACCGCCACUGACCGCAGGAGCGCAGGCUCGUCCGACGAGAAGCCCGAAGCGAUCACCGUAGUGCCCACCUACCGAAGUGUGGGGGUUGAACUUCCGGCCGCCGAACAGCCCGCUC
rnacentral:other from 1 species